AAGAUUUUGUUCACACAAACUGAUAUGGGCAUAAUGGUUACAGAUAAAAUCCUGAAGUUCUCAUGAAUCUCUCCUGAGAAGCCUACGAAAGAUGAACUCGGACCAUCAAGAUGAUUGGAGUGUCUCCUCCUCAGGAAGGGACACGUGACCUUUCUC
rnacentral:lncRNA from 1 species